rnacentral:rRNA from 1 species
UAACGCGUGAGUAACCUGCCUUUCAGAGGGGGAUAACGUUCUGAAAAGAACGCUAAUACCGCAUGAGACUACAGAGCUGCAUGGCUCAGUGGUCAAAGGAGCAAUCCGCUGAAAGAUGGACUCGCGUCCGAUUAGAUAGUAGGCGGGGUAACGGCCCACCUAGUCGACGAUCGGUAGCCGGACUGAGAGGUUGAACGGCCACAUUGGGACUGAGACACGGCCCAGACUCCUACGGGAGGCAGCAUG